rnacentral:rRNA from 1 species
UACAGAGGUCUCAAGCGUUGUUCGGAUUCAUUGGGCGUAAAGGGUGCGUAGGCGGCGCGGUAAGUCGGGUGUGAAAUCUCGGAGCUUAACUCCGAAACUGCAUUCGAUACUGCGGUGCUUGAGGACUGGAGAGGAGACUGGAAUUCAUGGUGUAGCAGUGAAAAUGCGUAGAGAUCAUGAGGAAGACCAGUGGCGAAGGCGGGUCUCUGGACAGUUCCUGACACUGAGACACGAAGGCCAGGGGGAGCAAACGGG